UGGGGAAUAUUGCACAAUGGGCGCAAGCCUGAUGCAGCCAUGCCGCGUGUAUGAAGAAGGCCUUCGGGUUGUAAAGUACUUUCAGCGGGGAGGAAGGCGUUGUGGUUAAUAACCACAGCAAUUGACGUUACCCGCAGAAGAAGCACCGGCUAACUCCGUGCCAGCAGCCGCGGUAAUACGGAGGGUGCAAGCGUUAAUAGGAAUUACUGGGCGUAAAGCGCACGCAGGCGGUCUGUCAAGUCGGAUGUGAAAUCCCCGGGCUCAACCUGGGAACUGCAUCCGAAACUGGCAGGCUUGAGUCUUGUAGAGGGGGGUAGAAUUCCAGGUGUAGCGGUGAAAUGCGUAGAGAUCUGGAGGAAUACCGGUGGCGAAGGCGGCCCCCUGGACAAAGACUGACGCUCAGGUGCGAAAGCGUGGGGAGCAAACA
rnacentral:rRNA from 1 species